rnacentral:rRNA from 1 species
UACGUAGGGAGCGAGCGUUGUCCGGAUUUACUGGGUGUAAAGGGUGCGUAGGCGGCUCUGCAAGUCAGAAGUGAAAUCUAUGGGCUUAACCCAUAAACUGCUUUUGAAACUGUGGAGCUUGAGUGAAGUAGAGGUAGGCGGAAUUCCCGGUGUAGCGGUGAAAUGCGUAGAGAUCGGGAGGAACACCAGUGGCGAAGGCGGCCUACUGGGCUUUAACUGACACUGAGGCUCGAAAGCGUGGGGAGCAAACAGG